AUGUGUUCGGUUAUCAAAUUAGAGCAAGCAUUGUUUUCUAUCAAGAUGUUCGCAAUAAAUAUUUCCUGGAAUGGUUAAAAAAGAAACUGAAAUUUGGUUAUAUCAGAAAUCGAAAUGACGGCAUGAGUGAAUACACAAUUGUCGGAGUAGAGACGGUAAGCCAAGUUUUAAGACUUAUUAAACCUUAUUUAAAACUUAAAAAGAGGCAGAUUAGUCUUGCCUUAAGAGUUUUGAAGCAAAUGCCAGGAAGUGGAAAUAAAUUAACUCCCAAGAAAUUAUUGAGACUUUCAAGAUUGGUUGAUGGUUUUUCUGAUUUGAAUUAUUCGAAAAAGAGAACCAACACAAGUGCGAAAGUUGAAGAGUUUUUAAAGUCACACCAUCUUCUUUGAUCCCGUAGAGACUUGUAGUUUCAAGACUACAGAUACCAAUAACAUUGGUAUAAGACGUCAGCUCCUAAAAUGUGUGCAAGUUUAACUUUAGGAUGAAGAUAUAGUCCAUACAACCAGAAACGGUUGAUCAAUAUGCGUGAGACAGUUCGGACUCUAUCCUGUAGAAGCGUUGGAAUCUUGAGGAGAGCUGGGGACAGUAAGUAUUGCUGCCUUGAUAAGUAAUUAUUGAGGUCACACUAGCUAAAAUCGGUGGAAUCCUGUGCCAUUUUUAUGAUGGUCCUAUCUAAGUACAGGGCAAUACCGAGGGAAGGUUUAAAUACCCCCGUAACGACUUAGUCCGGUGCAACAUCGGACUGGAUGGAUUGGUAUCCAUAAUAACGCUAGCACCCGUGAGAUACGAAAUUAUCUAACUGGUUGAAGGUAUAGUCUAAUCCCUUUAGUAAUAAAGGAGUGAUUGACGAGAGGACCUCCCUGGAGGAAUCCCUGGUGUGCCGGUUAUUGCGUCAGCAGUAACGCCGGGUAGCUAUAUUCCUAACGGAUAACCGCUGAAAGCAUCUAAGUGGGAAGCCAACUCCGAGAUUAGGAUUCCGUAUUAAAUCCCUGGUAGAAUACCAGGUUAAUCGGCAGGCGCUGGAAGACCCGUAAGGGUUUAAGGCUACCUGUACGAAUAGAUUGAUUUCUUGCGAUC
rnacentral:ncRNA from 1 species